rnacentral:rRNA from 1 species
UACGUAGGGUGCGAGCGUUGUCCGGAAUUACUGGGCGUAAAGAGCUCGUAGGCGGUUUGUCGCGUCGUCUGUGAAAUCCCGCAGCUCAACUGCGGGCUUGCAGGCGAUACGGGCAGACUUGAGUACUGCAGGGGAGACUGGAAUUCCUGGUGUAGCGGUGAAAUGCGCAGAUAUCAGGAGGAACACCGGUGGCGAAGGCGGGUCUCUGGGCAGUAACUGACGCUGAGGAGCGAAAGCGUGGGUAGCGAUCAGG